AUUGCGUGGUUAGUAACCAAACCCACUCUCUCUCUCCCUGUCUGUGUGUCUGUCUUUCUGUCUCUCUCUUUCGGUGCCUAUAUCUAGUGGGGAGCUGGGGUGCAGCACCAACCCCACAUCUUCCUUCAGAAAACAUCACACAAACCCCACAACACUAGCUAGCUAGCCGGACCUUAAAAUCCCCUAAGUUUAGCUUCCUCUUUGCUUGUUUUUUUGUCAAUUCAAUAGGGUUUGUGGGGCUUUGAAACUCCAUUUGAUUAUGACCUAGUUCCUAUCUGCCUCAAUCUUUGUACAACCUCAACCUCAAUAUAUACCUAUCUAAUCCCCUUCUAAAGUCUCCUUCAUUCCCCCCCCCCCCCCCCCCCAAAAAAAAAAAAAAAAAAAGAACUGCUGCAGAUUCACCUUCCUUGGCAUGAUCAAGGGGAAGAUUAGCUAGAUUUGAACUCAUGUUAUCCAUAGACGUGCGAACUUUAUGUCCUUCCAUAUAUAUGUUUUCAUACAAUAUGCAUGCAUACAUGGAAAUACAUACACGACGGGAUUAGAGAAGGUCUUAGUAGGAAGAUUCUCUAGUACGAGGGAGUAGUUAUAUGCAUAAAUGCACGUUAUGAGAUCAUGCAUACACAUAUAUGUGCCUGGCUCCCUGUAUGCCAUUUGCAGAGCCCACCGGAGCAUCGAUGGCCUCCGUGGAUGGCGUAUGAGGAGCCAUGCAUAUUCCAUGUAUUAUACAUAUAUGGAAUUAGUUUUUCGAAUUUCGUUAUUUUUCUCUUCGAUCUGAAAGAAAGCAUUUUUAUAUUCUAGACCUAAUUUCACAUGGGCAGCUUUGUAAUUUUAAAAAGUUGCAGGUUCUGUCAUGUCCAAAUAUUACCUGCAGCACUUCUUCUUCCCCUCCAUUAAUGGCAGUAUGACUUGGGGGUUUAGGGUUUUGAUGACUUGAUAUCGAUGUUUUUUGCAGAGAAUAGCAGAUCGAAGUCCCUAAAUCACAGAUGGUCUCGUGAGGCUUCUUUCCAGGAGAUCAUAAAUCAGUUCACCACACAUGUAACGAGGUUUCUGUGAAAUCAUAGAGCCCAAUACUUACGGUAAAUUACAAGUGUACUGACAACAUGGAACUUCCAACUACCGUGUUGGCCUUCCAUCUUGUUGAACGUACGCCGUCUGAUGGGCAUUUCAUAUGACCCGGCCUGGUCAUGCGAUUAAUGUCCUAAAGAGAAGCAGUUGUUGUUUCACAUUUUGAUAAGCCAGUUUUUUUUUUUUUAAAUCAUGCAAAGCAAGAAACCCUAAUUAGCAAUCUAUGCCGUUGGAUUAAUGAAUCGUCAAAAAGGAAAGUUAGUUUUAGUUUUAGUUUUAGUUUUGUUUCGUUUUUUCCUCUACCGACAAGUUUUUGCUAACCAUAUCAUUAAUAAUGUUGUAGUUUGACAAGCCUAAAUUAUUGGCUAUUGAUCUAGUUUUGGCCUUUUGUUUUCUCUUUUAACUUGUCGUACAUGAUGUUUGCUCUAAUGUUUUUGUGCUUGAAGAAAGCAAUAUAUGUACAAAAAACAACUGAUUUUAGGUCAUCUCUCUGCCGAUGGUUCGUGAUCUAUUGUGUUUUUUUAUUUGGAUGUUAGGGCAUGCAAUGAUCCAGUUAGUACUGCAGCUCCCUAUCUAGCUAGGCUUGAAAAAAACCCACAAACUUCGCCCAAUCUACUACUCUGCUUUUAAGGGAAUCAUUGUCCAUAUGUUAUGUGGUCAAAGCAGGUCAAAAAGGGACGUGAUUGGUCGGGCAAAGAGAAUGGGGACCACCUUUGCGAGAUCUCCAGGGAAAUCAAUUACAUAUGCAUGGGAUGUUGGGUGCAUGAUUUUUUCAAAUUUCAAGUUCAUCGAUCA